rnacentral:lncRNA from 1 species
CGCCCUGCAGAUGGGUUGCUUUUCGCGUGCCCCUUGUGAUGGGAGGAUUAGGUCGCAGGCUCCACCCUACGUCAUCCUCCCAAGCUUCUCAAGCGUCUGGCGCUUGGGGUCACUGCCCUCAAGGAGGCACCUGGAGGGGGGGAUGGCGUCCACUCCGAUGGGGAAUGAGGGGGAGAAGAAGAGCAGCUGGCCAUCUCAAGCUGCACCCUCCUUGAGAGGAGGUCCGGCUUCGUUAUCUCGUUCUGAGGAAUACCUGUCCCAGAUCAGUGCAGAACUCAUGGAGGAGGCUUUGUGCACUGCUUGCUGCCACUUGAACCCUGUGCCCAUCAAAAAAAAGCAGUCACAAGACCAAGCGACUCAGAUAUCCAAACGCGCAUUCUUCACCAAGACCUGAGGCACAGACACCUGGUGAGUGAGGCUUCAAGGGAGAUGCUCUUUGUCCUGGGAGAGAGCCCUCUCCCCUCUCUUCCACCAUCUCCUGCUCGGACAGAAACCGUACCUGCAGCAAGGCAUACCUCCUGCCAACUCCUGGUGAAAAGAACAUGCCUCAAAACUACUCUUUUGCCACUCGUUAACCACUUCCGUUUGUGGGGACCUCCUGGUCAUGAGCAGCAUCAUCCCGAAGCCUUCAAAGUGUUCUGGAUUCAUCACAGGACCCUCCAGCCUCAGCCAGCAAGGAUACCACCAGGAAUGAAAGUGCUUUAAUAAAGAGACAGGGUGUGCAUUGCU